rnacentral:rRNA from 1 species
UACGGAGGGAGCUAGCGUUGUUCGGAAUUACUGGGCGUAAAGCGCACGUAGGCGGCUUUGUAAGUUAGAGGUGAAAGCCCGGGGCUCAACUCCGGAACUGCCUUUAAGACUGCAUCGCUUGAAUCCGGGAGAGGUGAGUAGAAUUCCGAGUGUAGAGGUGAAAUUCGUAGAUAUUCGGAAGAACACCAGUGGCGAAGGCGGCUCACUGGACCGGUAUUGACGCUGAGGUGCGAAAGCGUGGGGAGCAAACAGG